CGCCAUUGUGGGUGUCGGUCAUUGGGAGCAAAUACAGAAUUGACCCGGAAUUUUUUAGGCGACACAUGGAUUUUCUUUCUGUAGGCAUUAUUAGGCAUUCGUGCAGUCUCCCAUCGCUUGCCAGCACGUCCAACAAUAUAUUUCGGCUUUGUGUAAGCACCCUCCUUCAUCGAGACGAUUUCGGCGGGCAGGACCUCCAGUCACAGCGGUCAGAUCAAUCUAGCGAGCUCAAAAUAUACAAACGACUACAGCUGGUGCGCGGGUACUCCACUGUUUGCUCGUGCUUUUCUGUAGUCGAACAAUGGAUCUCAUUUUGUGUCACAAGAACAGAUCAGGGCUGGGCUGUGGAAAAAUCGCCUCCGGGGCCAUGGAUAAGCCGCAUCGAAUCCAUGGCUACGCCAGUGCCAGUGCUCCAACAUCAUCCCAAGAUGGCUUUUAGAACUACCACGAAUCGCUU
rnacentral:sRNA from 1 species